rnacentral:tRNA from 1 species
GCUCCAGCAGCUCAACGGCAGAGCAGCCGCCUCUAAAGCGGACGGUAGCGGGUUCGACUCCCGCCUGGAGCACCA